AAUCAAUAGUUUUUUAAUUGAAAACUGGAAUGAAUGAUUUGACGAGGUACCAACUGUGUCGUUUUGAGAAAUUGAAUUUAACUUUUUAGUCAAAAGGCUGAGAUGAUGAUAGAGGACGAGAAGACCCUAUAGAGCUUGAUUAAUUAAUUUUGAUAGAAGAUGUGGGGAUGAAUUUUCUAUUGGGAUAGGUUGAUUUCGUUGGGGUGACGAGUAGAUAUAUUAUAACUCUAUUGAAUUUUAACAGUAAUUGAUGGUUUAUUGAUUUUGUAGUAUAAGUUGAAGAAAAGCUACCUUAGGGAUAACAGCGUUAUUUUUUUUGAGAGUUCUUAUUGAUAAAGGAGUUUGCGACCUCGAUGUUGGAUUAAGGGGCCUUUUGGGUGUAGAAGCUCGAAGGUGGGGGUCUGUUCGACCAUUAAAUU
rnacentral:rRNA from 1 species